rnacentral:rRNA from 1 species
AGAGUUUGAUCAUGGCUCAGAUUGAACGCUGGCGGAAUGCUUUACACAUGCAAGUCGAACGGCAGCACGGACUUCGGUCUGGUGGCGAGUGGCGAACGGGUGAGUAACAUAUCGGAACGUAUCCAAUAAUGGGGGAUAACUAAUCGAAAGGUUGGCUAAUACCGCAUACGCCCUGAGGGGGAAAGCUAGGGAUCUUCGGACCUGGCGUUAAUGGAGCGGCCGAUAUCUGAUUAGCUAGUUGGUGAGGUAAAGGCUCACCAAGGCGACGAUCAGUAGCUGGUCUGAGAGGACGACCAGCCACACUGGAACUGAGACACGGUCCAGACUCCUACGGGAGGCAGCAGUGGGGAAUUUUGGACAAUGGGCGCAAGCCUGAUCCAGCCAUUCCGCGUGAGUGAAGAAGGCCUUCGGGUUGUAAAGCUCUUUCGCAAGGGAAGAAAACUUAUCCUCUAACAUAGGAUGAGGUUGACGGUACCUUGAUAAGAAGCACCGGCUAACUACGUGCCAGCAGCCGCGGUAAUACGUAGGGUGCGAGCGUUAAUCGGAAUUACUGGGCGUAAAGCGUGCGCAGGCUGUUUUGUAAGUCAGAUGUGAAAUCCCUGGGCUCAACCUAGGAACUGCGUUUGAAACUACAAGACUAGAAUAUGUCAGAGGGGGGUAGAAUUCCACGUGUAGCAGUGAAAUGCGUAGAGAUGUGGAGGAAUAUCAAUGGCGAAGGCAGCCCCCUGGGAUAAUAUUGACGCUCAUGCACGAAAGCGUGGGGAGCAAACAGGAUUAGAUACCCUGGUAGUCCACGCCCUA